rnacentral:ribozyme from 1 species
AAACACAAACACACAAACCAAGUCCAACAACCAAAAAAAAAAAAAAAAGGUAAAAGAAAAAAAGAAUA